rnacentral:rRNA from 1 species
AUGGCCGCGCCGUGCACUUCGAUCCUAAACGACCGUCUGGCCGUCCUCCUGGAGGACAUCUUCCUCCUGCUGCCCGGCGCAGCAGACCUCGUCCGUGCCUCCGCCGCCUGCGUCCCCUUCCGCCAGAUCGCCACCGGCAGCUCCUUCCUCCGCCGCUUCCGCAAAACACACUCUCCGUCCUUCAUCGGCUUCGUGGACUAUCAUGGCUUCCGCCCCGCGCUCCGGCCUCACACUUCCGCGCCCAUCGCCGAUGCCGUCGCUCGUGCCGCCGCCGACUUCUCCUUCUCCUUCCUCCCUCGCCCCAACCGCUGCAGCUUCACGGGAGACGCCGGCUGCUGGAACGUCAGGGACAUCCGCGGCGGCCGGGUCCUCCUCGACCGCGGCCCCAAGCGCGAGAAGGGCUCAGUGGUCUUCCCGGAGCUCGCGGUGAGCGACCCGUUGCACCGGCGAUACCGCCUGCUCCCGCCGAUCCCUGACGACCUAGCCGUGUUGGUGAGGGACGCACUUGAUCUGACUUACUCCCCGAAGCGCCGCUGCCAGGUCGUCCUCGGCCCCGUCCCCGUCCCCGCCUUCAAGGAAGUGAAAGUGGAACCGGAAGAUGAAGAGACUUCAUUCCGCGUAAUCUGGAUGGCACAGUGCAGGACUAAGCCGAUGGCAUUCCUUUAUUCUUCAAGCACCGGAUAA